CCUACGGGUGGCAGCAGUGAGGAAUAUUGGUCAAUGGGCGGGAGCCUGAACCAGCCAAGCCGCGUGAGGGAAGAAGGUACAGCGUAUCGUAAACCUCUUUUGUCAGGGAACAAAUGCGGGGACUAGUCCCCGGAUGAGGGUACCCGAAGAAAAAGCAUCGGCUAACUCCGUGCCAGCAGCCGCGGUAAUACGGAGGAUGCGAGCGUUAUCCGGAGUUAUUGGGUUUCAAGGGUGCGCAGGCGGCCUGUUAAGUCAGCGGUAAAAGCCCGGGGCUCAACCCCGGCGAGCCGUUGAAACUGUCGGGCUGGAGUUGGAGAGAUGUACGCGGAAUGCGCGGUGUAGCGGUGAAAUGCUUAGAUAUCGCGCAGAACCCCGAUUGCGAAGGCGGGUUCCUGGACAUUAACUGACGCUGAGGCACGAAGGCCAGGGGAGCGAAAGGGAUUAGAUACCCGUGUAGUC
rnacentral:rRNA from 1 species